CUGCUCGGGUGUGGGACCAUGA
rnacentral:miRNA from 1 species